rnacentral:rRNA from 1 species
GACGGACGCUGGCGGCGUGCUUAACACAUGCAAGUCGAACGGAAAGGCCCCAGCUUGCUGGUGUACUCGAGUGGCGAACGGGUGAGUAACACGUGGGUGAUCUUCCCUGCACUCGGGGAUAAGCCGGGGAAACUGGGUCUAAUACCGGAUAGGACCGUGCUUUAGUGUGUGCGGUGGAAAGUUUUUCGGCGCAGGAUGAGCCCGCGGGCUAUCAGCUUGGUGGGGGGGUGAUGGCCUACCAAGGCGGCGACGGGUAGCCGGCCUGAGAGGGUGUACGGCCACAUUGGGACUGAGACACGGCCCAGACUCCUACGGGAGGCAGCAGUGGGGAAUAUUGCACAAUGGGCGCAAGCCUGAUGAAGCGACGCCGCGUGGGGGAUGACGGCCUUCGGGUUGUAAACCCCUUUCGGCAGGGAAGAAGCUUUUGUGACGGUAACUGCAUAAGAAGCACCGGCUAACUACGUG